AGGCGGAUAGCUCAGUGGUAGAGCAGCGCCCUUACAAGGCGACGGUCGCAGGUUCGAUCCCUGUUCCGCCUA
rnacentral:tRNA from 1 species